rfam:Medicago truncatula strain A17 chromosome 5, whole genome shotgun sequence.
AAGAAAUGUGGCAUGCCCGUUGUGAUUACUCUGAUUAUUGAUGUAUUAUUAUUAUUUUAAUUGAUUUUGGGAAACGGGGUGUUACAGUUCC